rnacentral:rRNA from 1 species
UACCUCAGUAACGGCGAGUGAAGCGGUAAAAGCUCAAAUUUGAAAUCUGGCUCUUUCAGAGUCCGAAUUGUAAUUUGUAGAAGAUGCUUCGGGUGUGGUUCCGGUCUAAGUUCCUUGGAACAGGUCAUCACAGAGGGUGAGAAUCCCGUAUGUGACUGGAUACCUAUGCUCAUGUGAAGCUCUUUCGACGAGUCGAGUUGUUUGGGAAUGCAGCUCAAAAUGGGUGGUAUAUUUCAUCUAAAGCUAAAUAUUGGCCAGAGACCGAUAGCGCACAAGUAGAGUGAUCGAAAGAUGAAAAGCACUUUGGAAAGAGAGUUAAACAGUACGUGAAAUUGUUGAAAGGGAAGCGCUUGCAAUCAGACUUGCCCCUAGUUCCAGUGGUGACUUGUUCACCGUUAAUCUGCCUAGGGUCAGGCCAGCAUCAGUUUGGAUGGUUAGAUAAAGGCUUGAAGAAUGUGGCCCUCUUCGGGGGGUGUUAUAGCUUCAGGUGCAAUGUAGCCUAUCUGGACUGAGGACCGCGCUUCGGCUAGGAUGCUGGCGUAAUGGUUGUAAGCGACCCGUCUUGAAACACGGACCAAGGAGUGUACCUCAUAUGCGAGUGUUUGGGUGUUAAACCCAUACGCGUAAUGAAAGUGAACGGAGGUGAGAACCCUUAAGGGUGCAUCAUCGACCGAUCCUGAUGUCUUCGGAUGGAUUUGAGUAAGAGCAUAUGGGGUGCGACCCGAAAGAUGGUGAUCUAUACGUGAAUAGGGUGAAGCCAGAGGAAACUCUGGUGGAGGCUCGCAGCGGUUCUGACGUGCAAAUCGAUCGUCAAAUUUGCGUAUAGGGGCGAAAGACUAAUCG